rnacentral:rRNA from 1 species
GGACAGAAAGACCCUAUGAAGCUUUACUGUAGUUUGGAAUUGGGUUCGGGCUCUUCUUGCGCAGCCUAGGUGGGAGGCUAUGAAGAUAAACUUUUGGGUUUAUUGGAGCCAACAGUGAGAGACCACUCUAGAGGAGCUAGAAUUCUAAUGGCGUUCCUUGAAGCAGGACGCUUGACAGUUUCAGAUGGGCAGUUUGACUGGGGCGGUCACCUCCUAAAAGGUAACGGAGGUGUGCAAAGGUUCCCUCAGGCUGGACGGAAAUCAGCCGUAGAGUGUAAAGGCAGAAGGGAGCUUGACUGCAAGACCUACAAGUCGAGCAGGGGCGAAAGCCGGCCUUAGUGAUCCGACGGUUCCGAGUGGAAGGGCCGUCGCUAGACGGAUAAAAGUUACUCUAGGGAUAACAGGCUGA